rnacentral:rRNA from 1 species
UACGUAGGGUGCAAGCGUUGUCCGGAAUUAUUGGGCGUAAAGGGCUCGUAGGCGGUCUGUCACGUCAGGAGUGAAAACUCGGGGCUCAACCCCGAGCCUGCUUCUGAUACGGGCAGACUGGAGGUAUGCAGGGGAGAACGGAAUUCCUGGUGUAGCGGUGAAAUGCGCAGAUAUCAGGAGGAACACCGGUGGCGAAGGCGGUUCUCUGGGCAUGUCCUGACGCUGAGGAGCGAAAGUGUGGGGAGCGAACAGG